rnacentral:lncRNA from 1 species
GGUGUGAGGUGACACGUCCAGGUAUUCAAGCGAUUUCCUGUCGGGCUUGCAAGUUCAUGCAUCGUUUCACUUCUGCAGGUAUUGAUCAGUGUACACGGCUGAUAACUUAUAACUUUCCAUUUUGAACUAUCAGAUGAAUAAUAUACAACUCUGUCUUACUUGUCAUUACUAAACUCAUACGCUUGUUUAUAAAUAACAUUUCUGGUGUAAAGAAUAUAAUUCAUAAACAUAUAAAUAAUACCCCAAAAAUAAGAUUUGAU